AAUCCUACGGGACGCAGCAGUGGGGAAUAUUGCACAAUGGGGGAAACCCUGAUGCAGCGACGCCGCGUGAGUGAAGAAGUAUCUCGGUAUGUAAAGCUCUAUCAGCAGGAAAGAUAAUGACGGUACCUGACUAAGAAGCCCAGGCUAACUACGUGCCAGCAGCCGCGGUAAUACGUAGGGGGCAAGCGUUAUCCGGAUUUACUGGGUGUAAAGGGAGCGUAGACGGCAGCGCAAGUCUGGAGUGAAAUGCCGGGGCCCAACCCAGGCACGGCUUUGGAAACUGGGCGGCUCGAGUGCGGGAGAGG
rnacentral:rRNA from 1 species